rnacentral:rRNA from 1 species
UAAGGAAUAUUGGUCAAUGGACGAAAGUCUGAACCAGCCAUGCCGCGUGAAGGAUGAAGGUCCUCUGGAUUGUAAACUUCUUUUAUAUGGGACGAAAAUGGGUCUUUCUAGAUCAACUGACGGUACCAUUUGAAUAAGCACUGGCUAACUCCGUG